rnacentral:lncRNA from 1 species
UAGUGGACCGCCCAUGGUCAGGGGAAUUGAUUGCAAAGGAUCGUGGAGUAGACGCGUGGCCAUCACCGUGGCUCGCCACGUGGAAUCUGUUACAAGGGGUGGAGCAGCGUCCGUUGUCGUGACUCGCCAGCGGAUGGGAGAAUCGCAUGGAAUCCAUCGCAGGAGGUGGAGCAGGUUCGUGGCCGUUAUUGUGGCCUGCCAGGGGAUAGUGGAGCUGUGCGGGA